rnacentral:rRNA from 1 species
CAGCAGCCGCGGUAUACGAAGGGGGCUAACGUUGUUCGGAAUCACUGGGCGUAAAGGGUGCGUAGGCGGGAUCUUAAGUCAGGGGUGAAAUCCCGAGGCUCAACCUCGGAACUGCCUUUGAUACUGGGGUCCUUGAGUCCGGAAGAGGUGAGUGGAACUGCGAGUGUAGAGGUGAAAUUCGUAGAUAUUCGCAAGAACACCGGUGGCGAAGGCGGCUCACUGGGCCGACACUGACACUGAGAGACGAAAGCUAGGGGAGCAAAUGGGAUUAGAUACCCCCGUAGUCCCUGUCUCUUAUACA